UGAUUGCAGGGUUACCGCGCCCAUCCCUUGGUUUGAUGGCCGGACGACAACGGUGCAGCAACAGAAAGGCACACAUUUUCGGUCUGACUGGAAGAAGUCAAGUUGCGGCUACUUGUUAAAUGUGUACAAACGGUACAGAUUUUCUCAACUUGUCGUUUGCUCUUCUGUUGUGCUCACGAGCACAUAGGGUUAUUUUGAGUGCAGGGCUAGUGGGUGUGAUCUUCCCCUCCCCUCCCGGUUGGCUGAGUGGGGUUGUGCAGCUCGCCAGCCCGUAGCCCAGGUUCGGGAAGGCUCCUGUGAAAACUAGCUGGCUGGCUAGUUUCUAAGCUAGCUCCUCGGUGCUCGUUGAUGCGUGGAUUAGAGGGAUACACCGUUUUCUUUUUCAGUCCAUGCCAAAAACAUAAAAACAAACGAAAAAUUAAAAAAGGUCACCAAGUGUUCCAGCAGCUGGAGUAAGGUAAUCAUACGCGCUGAAAAUGAGUGAACUGGACCAGUUGCGCCAAGAGGCGGAGCAGCUCAAAAAUCAGAUCAGAGAUGCCAGGAAAGCAUGUGCAGAUGCUACAUUAUCACAGAUCACGGCCAAUAUUGAUCCUGUUGGUCGAAUUCAAAUGCGUACAAGAAGAACGCUAAGGGGACACCUGGCUAAAAUCUAUGCCAUGCAUUGGGGAACAGAUUCCAGGCUUUUGGUCAGUGCCUCCCAAGAUGGAAAACUUAUAAUUUGGGACAGCUAUACAACAAACAAAGUUCAUGCCAUUCCUCUUCGCUCUUCUUGGGUCAUGACUUGUGCAUACGCCCCAUCAGGAAAUUACGUAGCCUGUGGUGGUUUAGAUAACAUCUGCUCCAUUUACAACCUGAAAACUCGUGAGGGAAACGUGCGUGUCAGUCGUGAGCUGGCUGGGCACACAGGUUACCUUUCCUGCUGCCGUUUCCUUGAUGACAACCAGAUUGUUACAAGCUCUGGAGAUACAACCUGUGCUCUUUGGGACAUUGAGACUGGCCAGCAGACAACCACGUUUGCUGGACAUACAGGCGACGUUAUGAGCCUGUCUUUGGCUCCUGACACCAGACUAUUUGUCUCUGGUGCAUGCGAUGCAUCUGCUAAGCUCUGGGACGUCCGAGAGGGCAUGUGUAGACAGACAUUUACAGGCCAUGAGUCUGACAUUAAUGCCAUCUGUUUCUUCCCCAAUGGCAAUGCGUUUGCCACAGGCUCUGAUGAUGCUACCUGCAGGCUCUUUGAUCUGCGUGCUGAUCAGGAACUGAUGAUCUAUUCUCAUGACAAUAUCAUCUGUGGCAUCACCUCUGUUGCAUUCUCCAAGAGUGGCCGACUCCUACUGGCCGGAUAUGAUGACUUCAACUGUAAUGUGUGGGACACUCUAAAGGCAGACCGAGCAGGGGUCUUGGCUGGACAUGACAACCGUGUGAGCUGCCUGGGAGUUACUGAUGAUGGCAUGGCAGUUGCAACAGGAUCCUGGGACAGUUUUCUGAAGAUCUGGAAUUGAAAUCUGAAGGUGCUUUUUUUUCCUUUUUUUUUACCAGCCACAAUCCUUUCUAAUGUCAUUAAAUGUGUUUAUAGGUCCAUCAGUAACAAUGAGCAAAAGAUGCCUUAUCAGAAACCAAUCUAUUGCUGAAUGGGACGAAAUGUUUCUAAUUCUCUUUUUUUCAAUUCAAUUGGAAAAUUGGCAAUUACGAGUGUUUCUUAUGGUUGUAAAUAGUUGAUUAAAACUGAACGUUUAUAUCUUUUCGUGUUUUUGGAUUUUCACUUAAGCCUCCUUGAUUAUGUCAUCAUUAUAGGACAUAAAAUUAAUUUGUCUUCAACUUGUAAAUUGUUGAAUAUAACUUGAAUAACAGCGGCCCCUUAAAAUGAUUGAACGAUGACUAAUCAAUCAAUUUAAAUGGAAUUAGAUUCAAUAAGUGUACAUUUGCUUAGGCAACUAUAUGCUUUGUCAAGUGGCCGGAUAGCUUUCUAGAAUUAAGAAGCAGUUUUCAUGUUCUGUCCCAACCUUUUUUUCUGCAGAUGUUAUCUUACUCCAAAGUUGACUGGAAGACCAUUACAACAGAAUGUUAUAUUUCACAGCAUCUUCUUCAACACUGUUUAAACUGACUUGGGAACCGCGAAAACUAAGGGAAACCAAGGCCUUUCCUACACAAAGAAGAGCACAAUUGUUUAUCACUUAGCUAAAAAAGAAAAAAAAACAGGAUCUCCUGUGGUAUCAAAUCAGAAACUUGUGCAUUCCUUCUUGGACCGUUUAUGUUCCCUUGAAAGAAAACAACACUAUCAUCCCAUGCAAAUGUAGGUGUCUUGAAAGCAAAUGGAGUGUAAUUGUACAAAUUAUUUAACUUUUUUGUUUUUAAGAAUUAUUUUCUGAUGGUUGGUUCUUGAUGGCUUUCUUUUUGUCAUAUUUUCCUUGGUGGUUUAGAUAUGUCUGAAAUUAAAGCUUAUCUUUCUAAUCUAGUUUAAUCACGUAAGAAAGAUGAGAGGAAAACGCGCAGAAGCAAAUGCUUGAUCAGAUUUACACAAGCAGCUGUCAAAAUGUCCAUGAUGUAUUUAUAUACUAGCUGUUUUUGUUUCAUCACAGCUUUUUGCACAUAAAGCUUUGCCUCUCAACUAAUACUAUGUUAACUAACCAAGCACAUGCUAUAAGUUGUGAUGAAUGCUCAUUCCAGUACAAAAGGAGAUAUAAGUAACAGUCCAGUUAAUCCCCUUAAUUCUUGUACAUGCCUUUUUGACUUUGGGUGGGAAGAAAUGGGGUAGCAAGUUUGGGCAUGGCUGGUUUUGUUAUGGAUGGGUUGGGUGUGAGGGCUUUGUGGGGGGGGGGGGGGGGGGGGGGGGUGGUUGUGUUAAUAUAGUAUCCACUUUGAGUGAAUCACCUCGCCUGAAUAAAUACACUUCCUUUGCUCGGGACUGCAGUUGCAACUCUGAAUGAAAUGUAUAAAGCAAUGUCUGAAAAUAGUGGUCUAAAGUUUUUAAGUUAAAACAUUCUGAUUUUAUCUGACAUGAGUUAAUUUAGAUGUGCAUGCUGUAGACUUGCUUUCAAUGGUGCAAAGAUCCUAGAUCUGCCGUUCUCAGCGGAGAGUAAUUGACUUUGUUUUAUCUUGACUGCAGCCAUUUUGGCGCAACUCUACAAACAUUUACAAAUACUGGUAAUGCUAUGCACCAGAGUGAACUAGAAUUGAGAAAGGAUUUAAUAUUGAUUGCAUACUUAGUGUAAAUUAUGCUACCAGUUCUAAUGAUGCCAUUUUUUUUUUUAAAUAAAACAAUCAUUGAGAAUUUUUACCUUUUCACCAGUACUUCCUCUCCUUGAAUUGUCCACACUCAAUGGAACAAAAACAUCCUAACACACCUGUCCAUAUUGAACUUUGUUUGGACUCAUUUUCCCCCCUCAGUCUUAAGUCAGUAACCAUUGGAAAGAACAUUUCACUGUAAACAGAAGCACUUUUGUUAAAGUUGUGACAUGUUCAUUUUUCUUUUUACUGCUAUGUACAAUAUAUGUGAUGUAUCUGUGGCCACAAGUGAAGAUGCAAUUCAACUGAGAUGGAUUCCCUUUUCAUGAAUGAAAUAGAGCUCUGCACCCUUAUGUACCUUUUCACUUUUGUAUUUUAUUUCAGUCUGUUGGUGUUCCACGGUGAGCUGGAUGCAAGAUAGAUACUGUACUAAAUUGUACUGUUAUUGAACAUGUAAUAAAAAGCUGUUUGAGAUGUCA